rnacentral:rRNA from 1 species
CCUACGGGUGGCAGCAGUGAGGAAUAUUGGUCAAUGGGCGGAAGCCUGAACCAGCCAAGUAGCGUGCAGGAUGACGGCCCUACGGGUUGUAAACUUCUUUUAUAAAGGAAUAAAGUGAGGCACGUGUGCCUUUUUGUAUGUACUUUAUGAAUAAGGAUCGGCUAACUCCGUGCCAGCAGCCGCGGUAAUACGGAGGAUCCGAGCGGUAUCCGGAUUUAUUGGGCUUAAAGGGAGCGUAGGCGGGCGUUCAAGUCAGCUGUAAAAUCGCGCGGCUCAACCGCGCCCCGCAUUUGAAACUGGACGCCUUGAGUUCGCAACAGGCAGGCGGAAUUCGUGGUGUAGCGGUGAAAUGCAUAGAUAUCACGAGGAACCCCGAUUGCGAAGGCAGCCUGCCGGGGUGCGACUGACGCUGAGGCUCGAAGGUGCGGGUAUCAAACAGGAUUAGAUACCCUUGUAGUC